rnacentral:rRNA from 1 species
CACGUAGGGGGCGAGCGUUGUCCGGAUUUAUUGGGCGUAAAGAGCUCGUAGGCGGCUCGGUAAGUCAGGUGUGAAACCUCCAGGCUCAACCUGGAGACGCCACUCGAUACUGCUAUGGCUAGAGUCCGGUAGGGGACCACGGAAUUCCUGGUGUAGCGGUGAAAUGCGCAGAUAUCAGGAGGAACACCGGUGGCGAAGGCGGUGGUCUGGGCCGGCACUGACGCUGAGGAGCGAAAGCGUGGGUAGCAAACAGG